AAGCGCUCAUGACCAGACUUGGGCUUGGUUGAUCAUCCAGGGUUCUCCCUGGUGCACUCUUCCAGCCCAGGCCAGCAUCAGUUCGCUGUGGGGGAUAAAGGCUUUGGGAAUGUGGCUCCUCCGGGAGUGUUAUAGCCCUCGGUGCAAUGCCGCCUACUGGGACCGAGGACCGCGCUUCGGCUAGGAUGCUGGCGUAAUGGU
rnacentral:rRNA from 1 species